CGGGCGGGUGAGUAACGCGUGGGUAACCUGCCUUGUACUGGGGGACAACAGUUAGAAAUGGCUGCUAAUACCGCAUAAGCGCACAGUAUCGCAUGAUACAGUGUGAAAAACUCCGGCGGUACAAGAUGGACCCGCGUCUGAUUAGCUAGUUGGUAAGGUAACGGCUUACCAAGGCGACGAUCAGUAGCCGACCUGAGAGGGUGACCGGCCACAUUGGGACUGAGACACGGCCCAA
rnacentral:rRNA from 1 species